UGGGGAAUAUUGGACAAUGAGCGAAAGCUUGAUCCAGCAAUGCCGCGUGUGUGAAGAAGGCCUUCGGGUUGUAAAGCACUUUCAAUUGUAAUGAAAAGGUUAAGAUUAAUACUCUUGACCCGUGACAGUAACUUUAGAAGAAGCACCGGCUAACUCCGUGCCAGCAGCCGCGGUAAUACGGAGGGUGCAAGCGUUAAUCGGAAUUACUGGGCGUAAAGCGCGCGUAGGCGGUUUGGUAAGUCAGAUGUGAAAGCCCCGGGCUCAACCUGGGAACUGCAUUUGAUACUGCCAAACUAGAGUAUGGUAGAGGGAAGUGGAAUUCCACAUGUAGCGGUGAAAUGCGUAGAGAU
rnacentral:rRNA from 1 species